GAUGAACGCUGGCGGCGUGCCUAAUACAUGCAAGUCGAGCGAACGGACGAGAAGCUUGCUUCUCUGAUGUUAGCGGCGGACGGUUGAGUAACACGUGGAUAACCUACCUAUAAUACUGGGAUAACUUCGGGAAACCGGAGCUAAUACCGGCUAAUAUUUUUAACCGUAUGUUUCAAGAGUGCAACACGGUCUUUCUGUUACUUAUAGAUGGUUCCGCGCUGCAUUAUCUAGUUGGUAAGGUAACGGCUUACCAAGGCAACGAUGCAUAGCCGAACUGAGAGGGUGAUCGGCCACACUGGAACUGAGACACGGUCCAGACUCCUACGGGAGGCAGCAGUAGGGAAUCUUCGGCAAUGGGCGAAAGCCUGAAGGAGCAAAGCCGCGUGAGUGAUGAAGGUCUUCGGAUCGUAAAACUCUGUUAUUAGGGAAGAAAAUAUGUGUAAGAAAAUGUGCACAUCUUGACGGUACCAAAUCAGAAAGACACGGCUAACUACGUG
rnacentral:rRNA from 1 species